UGAGCUAUGAUUGCACCACUGCACUCCAGUCUGGGCGACAGAACCAGACCAUGUCUAAAAAGAAAAAACACUCAGUGAUAAUUUCACAUUACAGUUUGAGAGGUUCCUGUUGACUUGGGGAAACUAGUUUUAGCAGACUUCAUUAAAGGAGUGUACACCUUACUACAGGAUGUAAUUUAAAAUAGAAUGUUUAAAUAAUAAAUUCACUUCUGGGUAUAUACUCAAAGCAGGAAUUCAAACAGGUAUUUGUACACCAAAGUUCGUAACAGCAUUAUUCACAGUAGCCAAAAUGUGGAAACAACCCAAAUGUCCAUUAAAGGAUGAAUAAACAAAAUGUGAUAUACAUACAAUGGAAUAUUCAGCCUUUAUUUUUCCAAUCAGAGUUUCAGGAAAAUCAACCUUUAAAAGGAGUGAAAUUCUGACAUUUGCUGCCACAUGGAUGAAUCUUGAUGAUGAUAUGCUGAGUGAUAUAUAAUCAGUCACGGAAGGACAAAUACUGCAUGAUUCAAUUUAUAUCAGGUAGUGCUUUGCUAAUGACUGACCGGUGUGGAUGUAUAAAAGUCCAGCUCCGUGAUCUCAGACUUCCGGCCUCCAGAACUCAGGCCCUGACAUUGUAUAAGCUUCAGGCCCCACAAAACCUGGAUCUGCCCUGCCAGGAUCAGCAUCUAGAGGAAAACUACUACUUCCACAAUAGCACAACCAAUCUGAUCAUCCCUGCAUCAGUGAGCAUUCUCCAGAGAAACAGAGCCAACAGGAUAUGUGUAUAUAUGUGAAGAAAGACUUAUUUUAAGGAGUUGGCUCAUGCAAUUAUGGAGGUGCAAGUCCAAAAUCUGUAGGGCAGGCAGAUGGGCAGACUGGAGACCCAGAGAAGAGUUGCAGUUCAAGUCCAAAGUCGGUUGGAAGAAUUCCCUCUUGCUGGGUAACACUGGGGAAGCAGGAGUAGAUGGAAAGGGGAGGUGUCAGGCUUUGCUCUACCAAGGACUUCAACUGAUUGGAUGAGGCCCAGUAACAUUAUGGAGGGAAACCUGCUUUGCUCAGAGUUUACUGAUUUAAAUAUUAAUCUCAUCCACAAAAAAAUAAAUAACCUUCACAGAAACAUUUAGAAUAUUUGACCAAAUAUCUAAGUCCCAUGGCUCAGACAACUUAACACAUAAAAUUAUCCAUCACAAUUCCAUUAUCCCAAUACAGGUCGGCAGGGCCUUGGGCAGGUGGUAACCUCAGCUCUGGAGUCUACAGCAAUACUCUCACACUUAACAGAUGUAGUUCUGUGGGUCCAGGUCCCACUUCGCAAGAGAGAAUCUGAUGGGCUAAUUUCGACCAAGUCUCCUUUCCUAGUUCAAUCACGUGUAAGGGUUAGAGAAAGGGUUGGGCUCACAAGGGACUUAGGGCUGCCUCUCUGGACUUGGGAGAGCAGGACUUCUCAAGAGAUAAAUGGUUAGAGAGUAAUAUAAUUUGGAUAUUUGUCCCCUAUAAAUCUCAUGUUGAAAUUUGAUGUUCAAUGUUGAGGGCAGGUCUGGGACCUCCCUCCCUGCUUUUGCUCCCCCUCUCGCCAUAUGGCACAACUGCUCCCUUCACCUUCUGCUAUGAAUGGAAGCUUCCUGAGGCCUUCACCAAAAGCGGAGGCUGGUACCAUGCUUCACGCACAGCCUGCAGAAUCAUGAGCCAAAUAAACUACUUUUCUUUAUAAAUCAUCCAGUUUCAGGUAUUCGCUUAUAGCAACACAAAAUGGACUAAUACAGAGAGGAAAUAUUUUGAGCACAUUGAAGGCCCCAAAAUAUUGAGCUUUUUUUUUUUAACCUAUAUAGUACUUUUCUUGCAUCUCAGUUUGCUUAUCUAUAGAAUGAGGAUUAAUAAGACCUACCAACUUCAGGGGGUCAUUCUGGUGAGAUAAGUGAAAAAAUUUGUAAAGAAGUGUAUAAAUUUACCAUUGUUUUUUAAAACUAAAAUGAUCUCUAACACUAAGUUGAUGAUCUGAUCACAAAGAUGGGGUAGAUGAAAUGAAGAGAAAAGGUUUCUGACAUUUGUAUACUUAGAAAUGUAUCCAG
rnacentral:lncRNA from 1 species